GGGGGCGUUCUGGAUUCGACUGAGUGGACGCGUCAGAGAUUGCAUGCCGAGGAUGGUUCUGACCUCGUUAACACCGGCCCAAACAACUAACUGCCAACGAAGAAUUGGCUCUCGCGGCCUAAUUAAGCCGUGACGUCCGUCUCCUGACACCGGCUGGGGAUGACGGGCGCCGAUAGCCGGUUAGGUGCCCCGCGGAGAUCGCGCGCUGGAAACCGAAACUUUUUCAUGCGAACUAGGCAAACGGAUUUGCGUCAGGUCAUUAUCCAAAGCCGAAUAACGUAUCCUGACUAAGCAUGUAGAUGUCUUUGGUUAAUUUGCUUGGGACGUGGGUUCAAUUCCCACCGCCUCCACCA
rnacentral:tmRNA from 1 species